UACGUAGGGGGCAAGCGUUGUCCGGAAUCAUUGGGCGUAAAGAGCUCGUAGGCGGCCGGUUGCGUCUGCUGUGAAAUCCCGGGGCUUAACCCCGGGCGUGCAGUGGAUACGGGCCGGCUGGAGGCAGGCAGGGGAGAAUGGAAUUCCCGGUGUAGCGGUGAAAUGCGCAGAUAUCGGGAGGAACACCGGUGGCGAAGGCGGGUCUCUGGGCCGAUAUCGACGGCUGAGGAGCGAAAGCGUGGGGAGCGAACAGG
rnacentral:rRNA from 1 species